rnacentral:lncRNA from 1 species
UCAAUGUCCGGCGAAGAAUCGACGGGAAAAAGGGCUUGGAGACGAUCGAGGAUGACCUAGGAGUCGGCUCUAGGGCAUUGUGAACAGUGGCGGCUUGAGAAAAAGUGUUUGCGAAACGACAAACCUAGGGUUAAAAAGUCGGAUCCCGACUGCGAGUCGACUCCCUUGAGUCGUGAGUCGACUCGACCUCGAGUCGACUCCAGAAAAUGCGCGAGUCGACUCUCCUUAUGCGCCUGUAGACUUCGAGUCGACUCCCGACAAUGUGCGAGUCGACUCCCCCUCAGCUGCCAACUAUGCGAGUCGACUCCCCCAAAUGCGCGAGUCGACUCCCCCUUAGGAGCCGGCUCUGAAACUUACUCGAGUCGUCUCUAACCUUGGCACGCACUUAAAAAUCAUGCUAUAAUCGUGCCAAAUGAGGAAAAAUCACCUAGUUGAGAUCUGAUUUGAUGAUCAUUGAAUAGAAACUCUAUUUUAACCUCAUUUUAACCAUCAAAAUCAAUUAAUCUAGUGGAAACUCCCACUAGGAU